rnacentral:lncRNA from 1 species
AUAAGAUCAUAAUCAUUUGUGAACAGAGAUAAUACUUCUUCCUUUCCAAAUUAGAUGACUUUAUUUCAUUUUCUUGCCUCAUUUCUCUGUCUAGGACUUCCAGUACUGUGUUGAAUAAAAGUGGUAAGAGUGGGUAUCCAUACCUUGUUCCUGAUCUUAGAGGACAAAUUUGAAUAUGAUGUUAGCUAUGCGUUUUUCGUAUAUGGCCUUUAUUAAUUUGAGGUAAUUUCCUUCUAUUUCUAGUUUGCUGAGUGUUUUUAUCAUGAAAGGGUAUUGAAUUUUGUCAAAUGCCUUUUAUGUGGCAAUUGAGACGAUUAUGUUAUUUUAUCCUUUGUUAUGUUAAUGUGGAUUCACUGAUUUUCAAAGUUGAAUCAUCCUUGUAGGCUGGGGAUAAAUCUGACUUGGUCAUGGUGUAUAGUUCUUUUAAUGUACUAUUGAAUUUAGUUUAUUCAAAUUUUGUUGAAUAUUCUGAGCAUUUCUCUCUCUACAUAUACAUUUAAAAUGUUUUUUUUAGAUUAAAUUUUUAAUUUUAAUUUCAGUGUAGUUAACAUACAGUGUUAUAUUAGCUUCAAGUAUACAAUGUAGUGAUUCAACAAUCCUACACGUUAUAGUGCUCAUCAUGAUAAGUGUACCUUUUAUUUUUAUUUUUUAAGAUUUUAGUUAUUUAUUUGACAGAGAGAGAGAACACAUGAGAGAACGCACAAGCAGGGGGCGAUGCAGGCAGAGUGGGGAGCAGGCUCUCUACUGAACAAGAAGCCCAAUGUGGGGCUCAAUCCCAGGUCCCUGGGAUCAUGACCUGAGCCGAAGCCCAAUGCUUAAUGGACUGAGCCAUCCAAGUGCCCCACCACUUUUGUUUUCAAGCUUCUAAUGUAUCUACACCUAACAUAUUCCCCCGCCCUCCAUUUUGGCAAAUGUGGUAUGUUUGAUCAUUAUUCUUUUCCCUUUGAAAACAUACAUAUUUUCCCUUGACUAUUUCUAGAAGAAUAGUUUUCAGU